CGUGCAAUGCACCGUGGGACACACUGCCUAAACAGAUGUGUCAAAAAAAAUAACACAUUGGGAUAUGUAGACAGCAUUGACAGAUUAGGUGUCAUUUUUGUGUAAGAUUUCAUUUCUGGGUCGUGCUACAAGUGAGAAACUAACGGCCGUUUGGCUGUCCAAUCGCGUGACUGUGGACAUUUGAAAGCAGACUUCCGCCCGCCUUUUCUACCGUUGGAAAUGCAAGAUGCGGCGACUUGACUUCAGACACCGAGAGAGGCUGGCGGCCCAGGUCUUGUGGCCACAUCUGUCCAAGCUCCUACUCUGAUUGAACAGUUGGAUGAUCAGACUGAUGAUGAAAAGUGCUACACAGUUCUCACACAUCUUCUGACUCCGAAGCCGCUGCAGUGUAAAAUCUGAGAUGUCUUUUCUGGUUGAUUUUGUGCAGAUUUCUGACAGCGACAGCGAUGGUGAGGGAAGCAGUGUACCGAACUCUCAGAUGACUCGGACCAGGUGACCAAACCCAUGCAAAGCACAAUGACUGUGCUGAGGCGUUCCGCCCCCCCUCCCCCUCCACACCACUCAAGGCACGGCGGCGGCCCAACCGCAAACUAACGGAGAUUAACAUGAGGCUGGAUGCGCUUGGCUCCCUGUUGCGUCCAUCACCAGAGGGGCCGGGAUUGCUGCGGUAGCUAGCCAAUUAAAGGAGGAGGAUGAAGGAGAGGAGUCUGACGAUGCAGACAUCGCCAUCGUAUGCAGGCCACGCCCUCGCAGGAAAACCAGCCAAUUAAAGCGCUUGCAGCAGCAUCAGCAGAACACACCGGCACGACUGGUAAACUUAAAGAUACGCCACAGACCAGACAUACACCAAAUACAACUAGCACAGACAGAGCUUCUGAAGCAUGCAGUGGAAGACCUGUCAGUCAAGCUAAAGGUCCCGCCCUCCAACCUGCUGCUGCUGCACGGAGAGGCGGAACUUAACACAUCACACACUAUUGGCCAGCUAGGACUCUGCAUCGCUGACAUCUUUGUCUGGAACCAACUUCACAUCCCUCUUCACUGCACUACUGACACUGAGAUGGAAUCCACAACCCAACCACUAGUGGUCUGCAUUGGGAACCUGAAGAGUCUGUCAUAACCGCCAGGAAUGACCGUGUGACCAUUCCCGUUGCAGACGGCCUGACUUGCACAAUUGACAAGCUGUUCAAGCUUUAGUGGGUCUGCAACUUGUUAUAUCCAGCACAGCUCAGCUCUGUUUUCACCUUCUUUGAAUAUGUUUAUGACGUUCCCAUCUCAACCAACAAACGAACAAAGGCACUACAACUUCUCUCAAAGCUUCCCAGCAGCCCAAGUGAUCACUCAACAUGUGUUUAUGCCCAAAAUGUAAAUAGUUACUACAGACAUCAAGAAAGUAGUUUGGCAUCUUUUUCAUGUACACGCUUUGUCAGAUGCACAGGAUAUGAUGAUAAUUUGCAGCCAAGAUGGCUGUUCAAGUUUACAAGGACUUACUAUGUAGACACCACCUACGUAGACACCACCAGUCCACAACAACAGAAAUGGGAGUAUCUUUCAAUGACUCUUUUGAAUCCACUGACAUUCAGACAGCCUAUGCAGCUUCAAGUAACACCUGAAGAAAGAGCAUUUUGUGUCCCUUCUCAAGGACAGAUUCUCCAUAAUUUACCACUUAAUGACAAUUUAUCUGUGUUCAUGCUUGUUAGGAUUAUUACAGGGAAUUAUUUUGAUUAUCAUUUUGGCAACACUUUAUUUUAUCAUUACAUCUAUUAGCUCUAAUACAUACAGUGUUAAUGCCUGUAUGCUGUAUAAGUAACUUGUAAGGCAUGCACUAAGCAAAAUCAAACAUACAUUAGGCAUGUAUUCGCAAAUGCCUUGUUCAUGCACAAUUUGGGAUUUAUUACCUAAUGUAACCUCAGUAAGGACCUAACAAAUGUUUGAUUUCGCUUAGUACAUGCCUUACAAGUUACUUAUACAGGCAUUAACCCAUUGAUGCUGGAUGUUGCGUUGUGCAACAUUGGCCCUGGCGCCUGGAGUUUUGUAUGGCAUCAGCACCCUUUUCUGCAAGUGCUUUAGGCAUCAAUGGGUUAACAUUGUAUGUAUUAGUGCUAAGCGAUGUAAUGUUAAAAUAAAGUGUUACCAUCAUAUUUAAAAA